AUUAAUACAUACACUAAUAUAAGUUAAUGACACCCUGUUGUAACUGUUGCUGUCAUUGUUCCGCCCAUCUUUCUCAGGUGCUUCUCCAGCCUUGGGAGGACAGGAGGCAAACAGGUGGUCUCCCUCCAAAAGAACGGUUGUGUUUACCACGGCAUCAUCCAGCAUGAACUCAACCAUGCUCUGGGCUUCUACCAUGAGCAAACCAGGAGUGACAGAGACCAGUAUGUGAAAAUCAACUGGAAUUACAUCAACCCACGAAUGACUCACAACUUCAAGAAACAACGCACCAACAACCUGAACACUCCAUAUGACUACUCUUCUGUGAUGCAUUAUGGGAGGUAAGAAAAUGGGACCCACUGAAUAAAACGUAUUCAUCAAGAGCUGUUUUACCUGUUUACAUUACUAAAUAUAAAUAUGUUUUAUAAAACUUUUACAAAUCACUGUUCAAAUUUCCUUCUGUAGAACUGCUUUCACAGUCCAGAAUGGAAGGGAGACAAUCACUCCAAUUCCAAACCGACGUGUGAAAAUUGGACAGAGACAGGGACUGUCCACCACUGACAUCCUGAGGAUCAACAAACUCUAUGGAUGCUAACCAAACCCAAACUGAUGCUGUCCCAGUCUGGAACCACCACAUCACGUCUUGAUCACAGAACACAAUGUGACAGAUGAAUAUGUACUGUAGAUGUCUUGUGAGCAUCACUACUGUCAUAUUGAUAUUACUGGAAAAUAAAAUGACUGAAAAUAA